CUGCCGCCGACGCCGCCGUCGCCAUCUUGGGUCGGUCUGUUCCCUUCCGAGCUGCCGAGAAUCCUUCCGCUGCCCCGGCUCCCGGCCCCGGCCGCGCCGAGGGGCACUGUCGGGGCCUCUCGGCGGAUCCCGGGGCGGGGGGGCCGGGGGGGGGGGGGGUGGGGAAGGGGGGGGGCUGUGAAGCUGCGGGCGGUUCCGGCUCGUGGGGGAGGAAAAAGUCCCUCAGGCGAGGUGGCGGAAAGGUACUAGGGAAGGUAAACAAAAGCCGGAUCUUCUUGAGCCUGUAGCUGGUCGUGCACGUUUAAAAGCCAGAGCUGCGCAGGCGCCCUGAAGGAGCCAGGAAGCGAGAGGGCCAGGGAUAGGGAGGGGAGAGGCGGGGCCAGGGAUAGGGAGGGGAGAGGCGGGGCCAGGCCGGGAGAAAGGGGCGGGGGCAGCGGGAGGAGGCCAGAAGAGAGGGGCGGGGCGAAGGGGAUGGAAGACUGAGAGAAGGGGAGGGAGGAGGAGGAAGGAGGGAUCCCCGGGAUAAGGGAGAGUGCAGCCAGCCUGCUUUCCUGGGCCCUGCAGUGACAGUGUGGCCCCCACGGUGGGAAUAGGGGAGGCAGGAAACCUGGGUUCAGGGCCCCUCCUCUCAGUGUCUCCUCUCCAGUUUGUGCAGGCUAAUACUAAAAUAUCUGGAGUGAAGAAUGAAUGGAGGAAGGAAGGAAGGAAUGAAUGAAUAAAGGCCAGGCAACCAGCAAAACGACAGAUUAUGCAGUGGUCCCAACUGGCUGGCUGAGGAGCUUCAGUGGGCCUCAACCCACACCCGAUUCCCAGCCAGCCUCUUGGGCCCUUCCGACCCACCAAAGGCACAGCUAGUCUGAGGAGAAGUCAGCUCCCCGACGGUCCCAGUCCGCCCAGGCCCAAGAAACACACGGGAGGCAAGAUGAGCACAGGCCAAAGACAGGGGCGUUUAUAAGACAUCAAAUAUACAUUCUUAUGUACAACAAAGAGAAGAAAAAGAACAGACCAGGCCCAACCAAGACAAUGAGGCCCCUCCCUCAGACUUUGGCCCAGCACUUUUCCAGCCCCAUCUGUGCAGAGAAGGGACUGGGCCCCUUGUCCACUCCCUGUAGGCAACUGGGGCCAGGUAGGCAGGGAAGAUCGGCAAGGACUGCAGGGACAUGCGGGCAGGAAGGGAGCAAGAGGACAGGCAGAACAUGUCCUAGGAGCAUCCAAGGCCAACCCAGGAGGUGGGGAAGAUCUCCCCCAACCCCGUCACUUGGACAUCACCAGAAUCACUUCCCUGGAAAAUUGGAGUGGAAAGAGAGAAUGGGAAAGAAGGACAGACGGACAGACAGAAGGAGCAGAGACAGAGGGGGCUCAUGUCUCGCCAUUGUUCCUUCCCAGAAGGGGCAGCUAGGGGUUGGACAGGCACAGGUUCCUGUAAGGGAAGACCUUUCUAACCCUUCAGACGUUGGAGACUUGCUCGUAUGGCUGGAUCGUAUGGCUGUUGUCCCAAGGCACAGACUGGCUGAGUUGAGAGAGAUUCAUUACUUAUUUGCUUACGGGAGAAAUUUUUCAGCCCAAACUCUAAUGUCUGUCUGUCUGUCUGUCUGUCUGUGUGUGUGUGUGUCUCUCUCCUCUCCCCACGCUCUUUCUCUCUCCUUCUCUAUCUCUUUUUUUCUUCUCUCUUUUCUCUGUCUCUCCUCUCUCUUCCUCUCUCUCUCUCAUCUAUCUAUAUGGAUAUCUGUAUCUAGAUAUGUAUAUCUAUAUGUAUAUGUCUGUAUAUCUUUCUAUCUGUCUGCUGUAGAGGGUCUGAAAUCCAUACUGGUGGAGACCCAGCUCAUGACAGACCCUUAG
ensembl:lncRNA